rnacentral:rRNA from 1 species
AUGCAUUUUUGUUGGAGGGAGGCGGAGGCGGAGGCGUACAAGUGGCCUUUGCUACACCAACCAAUCUUCUUGUUGGGGACGAUCCAGAGAGCAGCCAUGGCCAUGCCCGGCCUCCUCCCCAAGCUCCUCCCUCCAUCCAUCAUCUCUCAACGACGGUGGUUAUCUCACCGCCGGCCACCGCCAGUCCACCACGCCACCACCAGAAUCAGAAGCAGCAGCGACUCCUCCACCACCACCACACCCGCGACAACGACGACGUCUCCGGCGGCGGUGAAGCUCACCUACCUCGAGUUCAACGGCUGGCUGUGGGAGCUGCCCGGCGGCUUCCGCGUCCUCGUCGACCCCAUCCUCGUCGGCAACCUCGACUUCGGCAUCCCAUGGCUCUUCGACGCCGCCAAGAAGACCCUCCCCAAGUCCCGGCUAGAGCCGGACGGCCUCCUCGCCGGCGCCGGCGUCGACCUGCUGCUCAUCACCCAGAGCCUCGACGACCACUGUCACCUCCGCACCCUCACCGAGCUCGCCGCCGUCCGCCCCGGCCUCCCCGUCGUCGCCACGCCCAACGCGCGCCCCAUCCUCUCCGCCCUCCCCUUCACCCACGUCACCUACCUCGAGCCCGGCCAGUCCACCGCCGCCGCCGCCGCCGCCGCCACCGUGCUCGCCACCGCCGGCCCCGUGCUCGGCCCGCCGUGGCAGCGCCCCGAGAACGGCUACAUCGUCACCGCCGCCGCCGGGGGCAAAAACACCAGCGUCUACUACGAGCCGCACUGCGUGUACGACGCCGGGUUCCUGCGGGACAGGGCGCUGCGCGCCGACGUGCUCAUCACGCCCGUCGUCAAGCAGCUCCUCCCGGCCGACUUCACCCUCGUCUCCGGGCAGGAGGACGCCGUGGAGCUCGCCAGGCUGCUCCGCCCCACCUACGUCGUGCCCAUGAGCAACGGCGAGUUCGACGCCAAGGGGAUCCUCGCCGCCCUCGUCUCCACCCGGGGCACCAUCCAGGCCUUCAGGGCCAUGCUCGCCGACGCGCUCCCCGACGCAAAGGUCGUCGAGCCCACCCCCGGCGUGCCGCUCCACCUCCGCUUCGACGACAACGACAACAACAACAAUUCAUCAACAUCAUCAUCAUCAUCAUCGUAG